rnacentral:lncRNA from 1 species
UAGAUGAACCUCGUUUGGUCUUUGUAUCAGGCACUAUCCCCAGUUCUCUGACCUCGGAGGAACUCUCACUGAUUAGGAUUCAGUACGGGGUUCCUCCAGAGUACGAGCUGGAGCUUCCCGGACCGACCGGCAGGGCUAGUGCUCCUCCUCCCGACUGUUUCUGUCUAUACCAAGAAGCUUUCAGCGCCGAACUUCGACUUUCGCUUUCCCCUUUUGUUAUUACUCUCUUCCG